UUAUAGUGGGGCUACACACGUCAUACAAUGGCUGGUACAAAGGGUUGCCAACCCGCAGGGGGAGCCAAUCCCAUAAAGCCAGUCGUAGUCCGGAUCGUAGUCUGCAACUCGACUACGUGAAGUCGGAAUCGCUAGUAAUCGUGGAUCAGAAUGUCACGGUGAAUACGUUCCCGGGUCUU
rnacentral:rRNA from 1 species